CUUAAAUCCAUGUGCCCGAUAAACGUCGCCGACAACAUCGACUUGGGUAUCUGUCCCUUCAAAUUGUUAUGCGACAAAUCGAGUACCAUGAAGUAUGAGGUCGACCCGAAAGCAUCGGGUAUCGGACCUUGGAGAUAGUUCCGGCUCAAGUUGAGGUUACCUACGGCGGAGUUCAGAAGAGUCGCCGGAAUCAGCCCCGAUAUCCUGUUGCAGUCGAGGUUCAAGGUCGCAAGAACCGCCAUUUUUCCCAAGGCGGCCGGGAUGGGUCCAGAUAACUGGUUCAAAGAAAGAUCCAAAUCGGCCAGCCGGUAGAUCUGCGAUAUCGACAAGGGUAUCGGCCCGGACAACUGGUUCCCGCUCAGUAAAGC
rnacentral:lncRNA from 1 species